rnacentral:misc_RNA from 1 species
UACGGAGGGUGCAAGCGUUGUCCGGAUUUAUUGGGCGUAAAGCGUCUGUAGGCGUUCCUUUAAGUUAUUCUUCAAAGCCCGAGGCUCAACUUCGGAAAGGGGAAUAAUACUAUUGGAAUUGAAUGGCACAGGGGUUACUGGAACUUACGGUGUAGGAGUGAAAUCCGUUGAUAUCGUAAGGAACACCGAGGGCGAAGGCGGGUAACUGGGUGCACAUUGACGCUGAGAGACGACAGCUAGGGUAGCGAAAGGG